rnacentral:sRNA from 1 species
GUUGGAGGUUGCUGUGAGCGUGAUGCCAUGGCACUCUACCCAGGGGGAUAGCUUGAGGCUCCAUCUCAAAAAAAAAAAAAAAAAGAAUAUAAUGUUGGUAUAGUCUGAGCAUAGUCUUGUUAGAGCUCAUCAAUGUCCUUGCUAUUGCCUGGAUUUUUUUUUUUUUUUUUUUUUUGAGACAGAGCCUCAAGCUGUCCCCCUGGACAGAGUGCCGUGGCAUUACAGCUCACAGCAACCUCCAACUCCUGGGCUCAAGCGAGUCUCCUGCCUCCGCCUCCCAAGUAGCUGGGACCACAGGCGCCCACCACAACGCCCGGC